UACUAUAGCUUGACACUGAACAUUGAGCCUUGAUGUGUAGGAUAGGUGGGAGGCUUUGAAGUGUGGACGCCAGUCUGCAUGGAGCCGACCUUGAAAUACCACCCUUUAAUGUUUGAUGUUCUAACGUGGGCCCCUAAUCGGGGUUGCGGACAGUGUCUGGUGGGUAGUUUGACUGGGGCGGUCUCCUCCUAAAGAGUAACGGAGGAGCACGAAGGUUGGCUAAUCCUGGUCGGACAUCAGGAGGUUAGUGCAAUGGCAUAAGCCAGC
rnacentral:rRNA from 1 species